GAUCAAGCUACAAAGGGCGCACGGUGAAUGCCCUGGCACUAGGAGCCGAUGAAGGACGUGAUAAGCUGCGAUAAGCUUCGAGUAGGUGCAAAUAACCUGUGAUUCGAAGAUGUCCGAAUGGGGAAACCCGGCAGGCUAACGCCUGUCACUAUAUGCUGAAUACAUAGGUAUAUAGAGGUAGACUCGGGGAACUGAAACAUCUAAGUACCCGAAGGAAGAGAAAGAAAAAUCGAUUUCCUGAGUAGCGGCGAGCGAAACGGAAAGAGCCCAAACCAGGAACUUGUUCCUGGGGUUGAGGAUAGAACAUAACGCUUUGAUUUUCUUAGCCAAAUAUAACUGGAAAGUUAAGCCACAGAAGGUAAUAGCCCUGUAGGCGAAAAGAAAAGAAGAGUAGUUCUACUCCAGAGUACCACGAGACACGAGAAACCUUGUGGGAAGCAGGGAGGACCAUCUCCCAAGGCUAAAUACUACCUAGUGACCGAUAGUGAAGCAGUACCGUGAGGGAAAGGUGAAAAGAACCCCGGAAGGGGAGUGAAAUAGAACCUGAAACCGUGUGCCUACAAACGGUCGGAGCACUUUAUAUGUGUGACGGCGUGCUUUUUGUAGAACGAGCCAGCGAGUUACGAUAUACAGCAAGGUUAAGCACUUAAGGUGUGGAGCCGAAGGGAAACCGAGUCUGAAUAGGGCAACUAGUUGUAUGUCGUAGACCCGAAACCGAGUGACCUAUCCAUGGCCAGGUUGAAGCGAAAGUAAAAUUUCGUGGAGGACCGAACCACGUUGGUGUUGAAAAACCAUGGGAUGAGCUGUGGAUAGCGGAGAAAUUCCAAUCGAACUCGGAGAUAGCUGGUUCUCCUCGAAAUAGCUUUAGGGCUAGCGUCGGGUAAUUAAGUAGUGGAGGUAGAGCACUGAAUGGGCUAGGGGGCAUAGCGCUUACCGAACCCUAUCAAACUCCGAAUGCCAUAUACUUGUAUCCCGGCAGUCAGGCUGCGAGUGAUAAGAUCCGUGGCCAAAAGGGAAACAGCCCAGACCAUCAGCUAAGGUCCCAAAGUGUAAGUUAAGUGGGAAAGGAUGUGGGAUUUCUAAGACAACUAGGAUGUUGGCUUAGAAGCAGCCACUCAUUUAAAGAGUGCGUAAUAGCUCACUAGUCGAGAGAUCCUGCGCCGAAGAUGUACCGGGGCUAAAACUUACCACCGAAGCUAUGGAUGUACACUACGUGUACGUGGUAGAGGAGCUUUCUACACAGGCUGAAGCCAUACCGUAAGGAGUGGUGGACAGUGUAGAAGUGAGAAUGCUGGCAUAAGUAGCGAGAAACAGGUGAGAAUCCUGUUGGCCGAAUAUCUAAGGUUUCCUGGGGAAGGCUCGUCCUCCCAGGGUUAGUCGGGACCUAAGCCGAGGCCGAAAGGCGUAGGUGAUGGACAACUGGUUGAUAUUCCAGUACCACCAAUAUGCGUUUGACAGAUGGGAUGACGCAGGAGGAUAGGAUGUGCACACUAUUGGAUGUGUGUUCAAGCACUUAGGAGGACUAGACAGGAAAAUCCGUUUAGUCAUAACUCUGAGGUGUGAUGAGGAGCCAAUUGAGGCGAAGUAUCUGAUUCCACGCUGCCAAGAAAAGUCUCUAUGGAGUAUGUUGGUGCCCGUACCGCAAACCGACACAGGUAGAUGAGGAGAGAAUCCUAAGGCCGGCGGAAGAAUUACUGCUAAGGAACUCGGCAAAUUGACCCCGUAACUUAGGGAGAAGGGGUGCCUACGAGAGUAGGCCGCAGUGAACAGGCCCAAGCAACUGUUUAUCAAAAACACAGGUCUCUGCUAAAGCGUAAGCUGAUGUAUAGGGGCUGACGCCUGCCCGGUGCUGGAAGGUUAAGGGGAAUGGUUAGUCUUCGGGCGAAGCCAAGAACUUAAGCCCCAGUAAACGGCGGCCGUAACUAUAACGGUCCUAAGGUAGCGAAAUUCCUUGUCGGGUAAGUUCCGACCCGCACGAAUGGCGUAAUGAUUUGGGCACUGUCUCGGCAGUAAAUCCGGUGAAAUUGAAGUGUGAGUGAAGAUGCUCACUACCCGCGGUUGGACGGAAAGACCCCGUAGAGCUUUACUGUAGCUUAGCAUUGAAUUUCGGUAUUGUCUGUACAGGAUAGGUGGGAGACUGAGAAUCAGGGGCGUCAGCUUCUGAGGAGUCGACCUUGGGAUACCACCCUGACAGUAUUGGAAUUCUAACUGGCGGCCAUGAAUCUGGUCACAGGACAUUGCUAGGUGGGCAGUUUGACUGGGGCGGUCGCCUCCUAAAAGGUAACGGAGGCGCCCAAAGGUUCCCUCAGCGCGGUCGGAAAUCGCGCGAAGAGUGUAAAGGCAGAAGGGAGCCUGACUGCGAGACAUACAGGUCGAGCAGGGACGAAAGUCGGGCUUAGUGAUCCGGUGGUUCUGAAUGGAAGGGCCAUCGCUCAACGGAUAAAAGCUACCUCGGGGAUAACAGGCUGAUCUCCCCAAGAGUCCACAUCGACGGGGAGGUUUGGCACCUCGAUGUCGGCUCGUCGCAUCCUGGGGCUGUAGUCGGUCCCAAGGGUUGGGCUGUUCGCCCAUUAAAGCGGCACGCGAGCUGGGUUCAGAACGUCGUGAGACAGUUCGGUCCCUAUCCGCCGUGGGCGCAGGAAAUUUGAGAGGAGCUGUCCUUAGUACGAGAGGACCGGGAUGGACCAACCUCUGGUGCACCAGUUGUCACGCCAGUGGCACAGCUGGGUAGCUAUGUUGGGAAGGGAUAAACGCUGAAAGCAUCUAAGCGUGAAGCCCACCUCAAGAUUAGAUUUCCCAUAGCGUAAGCUAGUAAGACCCCUGGAAGACUACCAGGUUGAUAGGUCAGAGGUGUAAGCGUGGUAACAUGUUAAGCUGACUGAUACUAAUAGGUCGAGGGCUUGAUCAA
rnacentral:rRNA from 1 species